UGGAACCUCAAUUGUUGUCUUCACUAGAACUGGUUUCAUGGCAAUCUUAUUGAGCCAUUAUCGUCCUUCUGGCACUAUAUUUGCUUUUACAAAUGAUAAGAAAAUUCAACAGAGACUGGCUUCGUACCAAGGCGUAUGCCCAAUAUAUAUGGAGUUCUUAGAUUGCGCAGAGGAGACUUUCACUAGUGCAUUGUCCUUGUUGCAGAAGCAAGGGAUGGUAAAGGAAGGGGAGCAAGUAGCUCUUGUUCAGAGUGGCAGGCAGCCAAUCUGGCGGCUCCAAUCCACUCACAAUAUCCAGGUCAGGAAAGUUUAGACAGAUGAAAAAACUGGAACCAGCUUAAGAUCCACUCCUUUGUAGUUGGGAGUUAUUAUUAGUGUUGGGCACUUGACGCUUCUGCCAUCAAAUAGGAAUAGAUAUCAUUCGCCAGUGUUACCGAGAGUUGUUCUUGCAGGAUUGCUAGGGUGUUAUAUUUACUGUUAUUUGCUACGUGCUUCUGUAUGUUUUGGCCUUAGACAUCAAGUCAAUGAAGCCGGCACUUGAAUGCGUUGUUGUUUGAGAAGAUUAUGGAGUGAAUCGUUGUUCUUCCGGAACAAAUGUAAUGAAGAAGAAUCUAAGUUGAGUACUAUAUUUAUUUUGUGAGGUUUAAGAUCAAAGUCUAUUAGUAGGCUACGUGAAUGUUAUUAAUGUUUUAAGCUUAAAAGUUA
rnacentral:misc_RNA from 1 species